rnacentral:rRNA from 1 species
GACGAACGCUGGCGGCAUGCUUAACACAUGCAAGUCGAACGGAAACGCCCUGCUUUCGUGGGGUGCUCGAGUGGCGAACGGGUGCGUAACACGAGCGUAAACUGACCUUGCCCUUGGGCUCACUUCAAGAAGGUGAGGCUAAUACCGGUUCGGAGCUCCUUCUGCUUGGUGGGGGUGGGAAAGUCUCGGCGGUUGGGGAUGGACUUGCGGCUUAUCUGCUUGUUGGUGGGGUAGUGGCUUACCAAGGAUUUGACGGGUAGCCGGCCUGAGAGGGUGACCGGCCAAAUGGGGACUGAGCUACGGGCGGGAGUAGUACGGGAGACUGCAGUAUGGAAGAUUGCCUGAUGGGCGGAAGCAUGAUGCAGCAACGCCGCGUGCUGGAUUAUGGCCUGCGGUUUGUAGGCCGCUUUCGCCUGUGACUAUGCGUGAGUGACGGUAAUGGGUAAAUAAGGACCGGCUAACUACGUG